rnacentral:lncRNA from 1 species
UUUUUCGAUCUUCCUUGUCUGGAUCACCACUAUACUGUCUUCACUGCAAUCUCUCAGGAGUGUUUUUGAGGAUGUUGUUUUGCUAUUCCAUUUCUCUACCAUUUGUCCUUGUUGUCAGGUGGAUUUUUUUGUUCAUCCUUCCUCGCCUAUCUAUUUUUCCCUUCUUUCUUUUUUCUCCAGAUUGCUUUUUCAGCUUCUUCGCUUUGAUUUGAAUGGUGGGUUCUAGUGAUUCUAUGGGAGAUCGAUCCUCUCCGACAAUGAAUCUUGAAAAUC